GACGAACGCUGGCGGCGUGCUUAACACAUGCAAGUCGAACGGAAAGGCCCUGCUUUUGUGGGGUGCUCGAGUGGCGAACGGGUGAGUAACACGUGAGUAACCUGCCCUUGACUUUGGGAUAACUUCAGGAAACUGGGGCUCAUACCGGAUAGGAGCUCCUGCUGCAUGGUGGGGGUUGGAAAGUUUCGGCGGUUGGGGAUGGACUCGCGGCUUAUCAGCUUGUUGGUGGGGUAGUGGCUUACCAAGGCUUUGACGGGUAGCCGGCCUGAGAGGGUGACCGGCCACAUUGGGACUGAGAUACGGCCCAGACUACUACGGGAGGCAGCAGUGGGGAAUAUUGCACAAUGGGCGGAAGCCUGAUGCAGCAACGCCGCGUGCGGGAUGACGGCCUUCGGGUUGUAAACCGCUUUCGCCUGUGACGAAGCGUGAGUGACGGUAAUGGGUAAAGAAGCACCGGCUAACUACGUG
rnacentral:rRNA from 1 species